rnacentral:rRNA from 1 species
UACGUAGGGUGCGAGCGUUGUCCGGAAUCAUUGGGCGUAAAGCGCACGUAGGCGGCUUGCCAAGUCGGACGUGAAAUCCCUCAGCUCAACUGAGGACGUGCAUCCGAAACUGGCGAGCUUGAGUGCUGAAGAGGAUCGCGGAAUUCCCGGUGUAGAGGUGAAAUUCGUAGAUAUCGGGAGGAACACCAGUGGCGAAGGCGGCGAUCUGGGCAGACACUGACGCUGAGGUGCGAAAGCGUGGGGAGCAAACAGG